CUACGGGACGCACCAGUGAGGAAUAUUGCACAAUGGGGGAAACCCUGAUGCAGCAACGCCGCGUGGAGGAUGACGCAUUUCGGUGUGUAAACUCCUUUUAUGAGUCAAGAAAAUGACGGUAGCUCAUGAAUAAGCACCGGCUAACUCCGUGCCAGCAGCCGCGGUAAUACGGAGGGUGCAAGCGUUACUCGGAAUCACUGGGCGUAAAGGACGCGUAGGCGGGAUGUCAAGUCAGGUGUGAAAUCCUAUGGCUCAACCAUAGAACUGCACUUGAAACUGGCAACCUAGAGUAUGGGAGGGGGAGAUGGAAUUAGCGGUGUAGGGGUAAAAUCCGUAGAUAUCACUAGGAAUACCGAAAGCGAAGGCGAUCUCCUGGAACAUUACUGACGCUAAGGCGUGAAAGCGUGGGGAACAAACAGGAUUAGAUACCCCUGUAGUC
rnacentral:rRNA from 1 species